GACGAACCGAGCGAACGUUAUUCGGAAUCACUGGGCUUAAAGGGCGCGUAGGCGGGCGGCAAAGUCUGUGGUGAAAUCCUCCAGCUCAACUGGAGAACUGCCGCGGAUACUGGUCGCCUCGAGGAAGGUAGGGGCAUCUGGAACUGGUGGUGGAGCGGUGAAAUGCGUUGAUAUCAUCAGGGACUCCGGUGGCGAAGGCGAGAUGCUGGACCUUUUCUGACGCUGAGGCGCGAAAGCCAGGGGAGCAAACGGGAUUAGAUACCCCU
rnacentral:rRNA from 1 species